UCCCGCUUUCGCGGGCAGUCCCGUUAGAGUGCCCGGCCGAACCGCUGGCAACUAACGGCGGGGGUUGCGCUCGUUGCGGGACUUAACCCAACACCUCACGGCACGAGCUGACGACGGCCAUGCAGCACCUGUGCUAGGGCUCCCCUCGCGGGGCACCCCAGGCUUUCACCCGGGUUCCCUAGCAUGUCAAGGCCUGGUAAGGUUCUUCGCGUUGCUUCGAAUUAAACCACAUGCUCCACCGCUUGUGCGGGCCCCCGUCAAUUCCUUUGAGUUUCAGCCUUGCGGCCGUACUCCCCAGGCGGCGCGCUUAACGCGUUAGCUUCGGCCCCCAGAAAACCCAGAGACCUAGCGCGCAUCGUUUAGGGCGUGGACUAC
rnacentral:misc_RNA from 1 species